CCGUGCCCAAGAGAUCGGGAUAACACCUGGAAACAGAUGCUAAUACCGGAUAACAACAGAUGAUGCCUAUCAACUGUUUAAAAGAUGGUUCUGCUAUCACUCUUGGAUGGACCUGCGGCGCAUUAGCUAGUUGGUAGGGUAACGGCCUACCAAGGCGAUGAUGCAUAGCCGAGUUGAGAGACUGAUCGGCCACAUUGGGACUGAGACACGGCCCAAACUCCUACGGGAGGCAGCAGCU
rnacentral:rRNA from 1 species